rnacentral:rRNA from 1 species
UACAGAGGUCCCAAGCGUUGUUCGGAUUCACUGGGCGUAAAGGGUGCGUAGGCGGCGGGGAAAGUCUGAUGUGAAAUCCUGGGGCUCAACCCUGGAACUGCAUUGGAUACUUCCUUGCUAGAGUACUGGAGAGGAAACUGGAAUUUACGGUGUAGCAGUGAAAUGCGUAGAGAUCGUAAGGAAGACCAGUGGCGAAGGCGAGUUUCUGGACAGUUACUGACGCUGAGGCACGAAGGCCAGGGGAGCAAACGGG